AAGUCUUUAUUAUAAAUAUAGCUUCUAACUAUAUAGAAGUAACUCAAGUUUACUAAGAUUUU
rnacentral:tRNA from 1 species